rnacentral:lncRNA from 1 species
UUCAUUUUCUUAUGAUAUUAUAAGGAGGUAUUAUUUUUAAAAAUUAAUAUUCUUUUUAUUCUUCUCAGGACUGGGAAUAUUUACUAAAUUCAGACUACCACCAGAAUGUUGAGUCUCAUCUUUUGAACAGAUCUUUAUGUCUGAGUCCUUCAGAAGCUUCACAGAUGAAGGAUGAGGAUUUUUCACAGAAUCUCAGUCUGGAUUCUUCUACACUUCCCUUUACUCACAUACCUGCAAUUUUUUUCGUUCUUCACCUUGUGUAUGAGGAGCUUAAGUUGAAUACUCUAAUGGGAGAAGGAAUUUGUUCACUUGUUGAACUUCUCAUUCAGUUGGCAAGGUCAAACAGGAUUUACGCAUCAUCCAUCAUUUUUUACGUCUGAGCCACCAAGUAUUUAUCAGUGGGUGAGUUCUUGUCUGAAGGGUGAAGGAAUGCCGCCUUAUCCUUACCUCCCUGGAAUCUGUGAAAGAAGCAGACUUGUAGUCUUGGUAUGUAUGUGGAGUGUUACUACCUAUCUCCUUUUUCUUUUAAAAUUUGGUUUUCAAAAGUACACCUGAUAUUAAGUUUUUCUUUCUGUGUAUAGUUCUGUGAAUUUCAGUACGUGUAUAGAUUCAUGUAAUUACUACAAUGAGGAUAUAGAACA